UAGCCAUACCUGAUGAGUGGGUGGAAGUGAAUCAGUCAUUCUAACUCAAAGGGCGUUUUGGAUGCGUUUUCUACCGAAGAGGCAACAAAUACGCGAUAAUCGUCAAGUGCGAAUAAUUGUGCUGAUUUGACAUUUCCAUUAAAUUUAGUUCUGUGCGUGGAGUGAUAAUGAAAAUCUAAAUACGUAUUUGUACUAUUUACCGUGUUUGUUUGUGUUUCUUUGUUUGAUGUCCAUCACGAACCAUAGUUUCAUUAUCUCUAUUCACCUCUGUAAUGAAGUAAAGAAAUGACGGGCCGCGUAAAUCCAAAUGUUCCGACAAAUCAUUAUGUGAACAACGGUGGUGCUGCAACAAUUCAUACAAUUCGUGGAAACCUUACUCUUGUGACCACCAAUAACCACUGUAAACAUCAUGACUGUGCUGUCAGCGAAAAGGUGCCUAUCGUUACUGGGAAAAACGAAAAGACGGAAACGAUGAAAACCAAGAAUACCCGGACGAAGGAACUUGAAAUCCGGAUCAAGGCUCACGUGUCAAUUUUCAAUCAAUCGUUCCAAGGAACGAGGAUGUUCCGUGCGGGAAGCGAU